ensembl:lncRNA
GGGUGAGGCCCGAAGUAGGGCCUAAGGCGCAUGCUCACUAUCUGGCUGGAGCGAGCCUAGCUCAUUGCGCCUGCGUCCUGGCGUCUUCCUAAGCAAAGGCAGGUGAAUUAGCUUGUUGGAGGUCCUUCCGCCGCCGUUGAGAAAGUUAAGGGCUUCGAAUUAAACAAGCAACCGCUCACCUAGUCCUUCCACAUUAUUAAUGGACAUGCCGGUGCUAGGGGCCUUGUCUGCUAAUUACAGUAUCUGUAUCAUCUCAGAAUUGGCUUUGUUCGACUUCACUUUCUGCAGAUGGAAUGAAUGCCUUGCUCUUUUGAAGCCUUUGUGUAGAUCAAGAAGUAGAACUCUCAUCUCCUUCUCCAGCACCACGUCUGCCUGCACUCUGCUUCCUGCCAUGAUGACAAUGGACUGAACCUCUGAACCUGUAAGCCAGCCCCAAUUAAACGUUGGACUUAUAAGAGUUGCCUUGUCUCUUCACAGCAAUACAAUCCUAACUAAGACAGUCAGGGUGUUCAUCACAGCAACAAAAUUAAAGAAAGACAUCGCAUUGUAUGUGAUAUGUGGAGACCAGAGUGUGUCACUGUCCUUCAACUGUUGAUUUUUGCCUGCUGUCACCUCUCAUUUUGAUUCUCUGUUUCAGUGAAGGAUUUGAUGAAUCUUACAUUUUAAACUAUGGGAUGAGGGGCUAUUCCGGGAGCCUGGAAUGUUGCUAAGCAAGUACCACUGAGCUAGGUACACCCUCAGCCCUUGACAAGGUAAACAUCAUGGGGCUAACUAUGGCCUUCCACCCUCUAAGAUUCCCUACUCAACACCCAUUUCAAUAUUCUCCUACCCCAACCUCUGCCCCCUGACUACUAAAACCUAUUGAAGUUUUGUUUUCUGCUGUGGGAUGUCCCCAGGACAGGCAUAAAUACAAAUACAAUAAUAUAUACAAUAUAUAAAAUACACACACACACACACACAAUUCCCAGUUGAGUUGGCCGAUUUUAUUUUUUUAACUGUGGAAUAAGUACUAAACCUAGAGCCUGGACUAUUGCUAAGCAAGUAUCUAUGUACAUGAGUAUAUGUAUGUUAUACAUAUAAGUAAAUGUAUAUGUGUGUAUAUGUAUGUGCACAUACAUGUAUACUACAAUAAAUACAAACCCCACCUGUGCUAUUCCUUCUC